CCAAGUCCCUCACCAAGAAUAUUUGGAUGAAAUUGAAACAGCUUCCGAUUCCCUCACAAUUAAUUUUCUUCUUCGCUUACGAUUCCCCGUCGAAGAACUCCUCAAUCUCUGUUUCAAUUUUCUUCUCUCUCGUUCUUCAGUCUCCUAAAUCGUUUCUGCAACGAGAUCACGGAUAAGUUCCGGGAUUCAUCUCUUCUGAUUCGGAAGAAUGUCUCGUGUUCGGAAUUUCAGUUAUCAAGGAGGGAUGACUUAUGAUGAGUACUGGGCCACUUUGAAUAGAUAUGAUUUCAAAGACCACCAUCAAAUGACAAGUAGGAGCAAUUAUUAUGAUAAUGGCUAUUGCAACCAUUUUGAAUUCUCAGGGCAGUAUAAAGAGCAGGUUAAUAGGUCUAUUUAUGCGAGGACUGAUACUUUGAACACCAUCAAGUCUCAUAAUUCUCAGUCUUUUAAAAGGAGGAAGUUUUCUGCUUCACGUUGGGAGGAUAGUGGGAAAUACCAUUGGCAGGCGAGGGCGUAUGUUAAUGGACCUUCAAUCUAUAGCAAUUUGGUCCAUCCUCCUCCAAGAUCCAACAACGAUGUCUCUACGUCUGCCAGCUGUAAACGCAGCCGCUCAAUAAUGGAAGAGGAUGAGCCUUUCUUUAUGACCAGGGAUGAGAUUGAGAGAUGUUCACCUUCAAGAAAAGAUGGUAUUGAUACAGUACGUGAAACACAUCUGCGGUACACAUACUGUGCCUUCCUUCAGAGUCUAGGUUUGCAGCUUGAGUUACCACAGACUACCAUUGGCACUGCAAUGAUUCUAUGCCAUCGGUUUUUUAUUCGAAGGUCACACGCUUGUCAUGAUAGAUUUUUGAUUGCCACAUCUGCACUCUUCCUUGCUGCAAAAUCUGAGGAGACACCACGCCCUCUGAAUAAUGUCUUGCGAGCUUCGUGCCAAAUUCUACACAAACAGGAUUUUAAUGUCUUAUCUUAUAUGCUCCCUGUUGAUUGGUUUGAGCAAUAUCGUGAAAGAGUAACUGAGGCUGAACAAUUGAUACUGACUACACUGAACUUUGAACUCAACGUACAACAUCCCUAUGCUCCUCUUAUGUCUGUUCUUAACAAGAUAGGUCUUUCACAGUCGAUCUUGGUGAACCUUGCACUGAACUUAAUCAGUGAAGGGAAGCUUCUUGGCUUGUGUAGUCUAUUAGUAAGCAUGCCCUUGCAAUUGCGAAAAAGUAGGUCAAUGAUGUAACGAUAAGAUUUAGAUUUGUGAUGUGUGGGUGCAAGAACCUCAAUGGAAUGACAGAUUUCUUGAAUUUUGGCAUUGAUUGUGGCAUGAAAGAGGUUGUGCUGGUGAUCUUCUUUCCUUCUAGGUAUCAAAAUGGUGUGUUACUUUUGUCACUUGUUUUCUUGUUAGAGCGAGCUACCGUUCUUUACACAUUUCUCAUACUAUGAAUUAUUGAUUUUUCUGGCAUGCGUAUAAUUUGCAGGAUCUAUGCACGAUUAGUAUGCUCGCCUGUUUGAUAUACUUAGCUGGCGGAUUGAUAUGCUGUUCAUGGAAACUUUUCUUUUACAAGUGAAGUUAUUUUAACCAUGAAUAUACCCCAUCAACUUGGUACUUGGUGCUAAUGAUUGCCAAUGAGCUUACUGCAUCACUUUCUAUCUUUUCUUAACAAAAAUAUCUAUUUCUCCUCCUCUCCCUGGAUCGUCCUCUUUAGGCCAUUCAUUUUCUUAUACCUUGAAAGAUACGGAAUAUUUUCCUUAUGGACUUUUUGACUUUGAAGGGCCUCCACAUGUGAUUGAAUCUUCAAUCUAUUGUCUUUAUAACUUAAGAGGACCGCUGCCAUUGGUUUUGCUUUUGCUCUUAUUUCCCAAUGAUGGAUGAUCAAGUGAGUCUAACUGAGAAUAUCUGCUGACCAGCUUCUUGGGAUGAGUUUCUAUUUAGCACAGAAUAAGUCACAAUGUGAUUUAGAUCUUAGAUAAACCUCUCUUUGGUCUUUUCUUUAGCACAGAAUAAGUCAGUGUUUACUCUUUGAAGAUUCAAGUGUACAUGACUUAAAUAACAUGUCAAACCACCAGAUUCUUGAUGUUCCAUUGAGCAUGUACGCACAAGCAAGCAGCCCUUCAGUUGGAAACCUUAAAUUUGUGUCGAAUCAUUUUAUAAGUCAUGUAUUUGCUGACUGCUGUCUAUACUUGGUAAAUUAUCACGUGGAUAUCUGUUGAUCAUUUUGAGUCAGAGAGGGUGGAACUCAAAUGUGGCGUGACUAUGACUGGUUCAGGAUGGGCGGAAUCUGCAUGCAUAUGGGUUUCUUGAUAGGGACAGAAUGUGAAUUAUGGAAGAUCAUAUUAAAAGAAAAUUUGGAUCCCCCUCUCGCACUAAGAGAAAAUAUAAUGCAUGCAUUCAUAUACAUACCUUUGCCUAUUACUGCAUAUGCCUCCAUUUUCCAGUUUUUCCCAUCCUUGUUUGACAUACAAUGUGUUGUUACUUUAUUUUCAUGAAGCAUUUUCUCUGUUUUUGUGUUUUCAUCACAAUGAAACCUGAAGUUUUGCUGUUUUGACAUAAAUGGUAUAAUAUUUAAAUUAUUUUAUAUAUGAAAUAUAUAUUACCUUGGGCUGGUUUGCUUUUGAAAUUUCUUUGCUUUCCUGUAAAGUCUUUAUUGGCUUUUUUUCUUAACAACCAAAGGAGUUCUAUUCAUUCUCGUCUUGCACUUCCACACAUUGCUUUUGUUUAUAAUCUUACCCCUUUUGAUUUCGGUCAUUCAUCAUUUAUUUAUGGGGUGAGAAAGUAUGUACAUCUCUUAUCGACUAUGAAAUGUUUAAUAAACUAUGGUUUUUUUAAACUCUCUAACAUUCAUCAUAGGAUUGGAUUUUCAGCUAAUCUGUCUUUUCUGUGUUGCUCUUGUUAUCAAAUAAAUACCGCUGUCAUGACCACAACACUUUCUUGAACUUUGAUAUCUAAUAUGCCUUAUUAUCUGACUUCUUGGAUAUUCUAAGCUAUUAAAAUUUUGAAACUAUUGUGAAAUUGUACCAGUUUCUCACACGUCGUUUCCUAUGGGGAAAAAAAUUCCCUUCUCUCUCUAUUUUGCUUUUAUUUUCAAAAUAGUUUAUUCAUGACUUUGAAACUUUUUAAUUUGUGUUUUUAAAAUCCAGCACUGUCCUAUAGGUGGAAAGAUGCAUGUCUGGCCUUUUUCAUCUUGCCAUAAUGAGUAGAUGCAUCACUAUUUUGAAUGAAGCUGAUUAUUUUUUUUGUUAUGAUGUAUAUAUUGACCAGUCAUUCUAUAUGUUGUGAUUAUAGGAAACCCUGAAGGUGUAAACUUUUGAAAUAUUCAGUGACAUCAAGGUUUUGCAUUCAAUUUGUUGGACAUAUAAAUUGUAAAUUUUAAUUUCUUUCAGGUGAUGUUUGUUCCAAUUUAUAUGGUCAUUAGAAUCACAAUCAUCAAUUAAACAACGUUGUGAUCUGCAUGCUUGUGUAAAGGUGCUGUCUAUAGAAACUUCACCCUCUCCUGCCUCCCCUUCCAUCAAAAGAUACCGAAUAAAACUACUUUCAAGGUACAAACUUUACAACAGAUGCAACUUUCCAUGUAAAGGCAGUUUUGCCCAUAGAAACCACCCCCCUCCCCCUCUUGCCCAUAUGCCUAACCAAAAGAGGAGUAAAACCAUGUCCUGUUCUAAACAUUCUAAGGAUAAUUACCUUAAUUAAGGUAGAAGCUUUACAAUGGAUUCAACUUUCCAUAAACCCGAGUCUUUUCUUCUUGUGUGUAUUUGUACAACGGUGGGAAUUUUGGGUUGGAUCUGUAAGUAGGGUAAACUUGCAUGCUUUCAAGCACGAUGAGAUGAGAGUGCUUGAUGACAAUCCAGUACAGAUCAACAUUUACAUCAUUUAGAGCCUUGAAGAUGGUGGGUUGCUUUGAGAAGUUUGAUUGUUUGCAAUAUGCCACAACCUCCUGUCUUUUAGUUUGGGUUGCAUUAGUUUCUGGAAUGAAAAGCCCCUGCAGCCAAAUUACCUGGGAGUUUGAUGUAUUCUGUAUAUGGGGUAUAACAUAUAUCGUAUGAUAGUGAUACUAUCGGCAAUCUUCCAGAGAUUCUUGGAAAUAUUCUACCUGAGUUGCUGCUUUUUAGUUGGUAAGAAGAAACGUGAUAUUUACUUUGCUCUUGCUCUUAGUUUUUAUUGUUGUAUACAGUUGUAUAUUUAGAGCUGAUGCACUUUUUUUUCUUGAAGUACUGUUACACAUUGCCUUCCUCUUUAGUAGUGGACCCAGAUGGUUUGUUUAACUGUUUUGUGUUCUUCAACUGGUUAUCGUGGUUGUGGUAGUUGCAUAUGACACUGAAAUGUGUUUUUUUUAGGCUGAGGAGCUCACUCUGGCUUCAGUUUAAGCCCCAUCAGAUAGCUGCUGGAGCUGCAUAUCUGUCUGCCAAGCUAUUGAAUAUGGAUUUUGCUCCUUAUCAAAAUAUCUUGCAAGAGUUCCAAGCUACGCCAGCUAUUCUCCAAGAUGUGGCCCAGCAGUUGAUGGAGCUGUUCUAAAGUGAAAGCUCGAUUGGACGAAGCCUACAUCUGGUGAAAUUACACGGGAAACGUAACGUAUUUGUUACUUUAGGACACGUCUUAAAUAGUUAAAUCCUGACAGUCGCUUAGAGUAUAGUGACUGUGUUGGAUGGAUGGCUUAACAUGAAUGGUUCCGAAUCCCUUUCCAUGUGCAAGACAGUGGUUUAGAAGUACAGUAGGAAGGCGUGUAUUGAAUUGGCAAAUGGAUGGUUAUACGAAAAGGCUCAUUUCUGGUCU